GCUCGAAUAAACGCCUCGAGAUCCGUGCGCGGCGCUAAAUGCGCGUCCGUCCAUCCGUCCCGUCUUGAAACACGGACCAAGGAGUCUAGCAUGUGCGCGAGUCACGGGGAGUUCUAACCCCCACGGCGAUAGUGAAAGCGACAAAGCUCCGUCUCCGCUUCAAAGCGGAGUCGGCAGCGUUGGGCCGAUCCGAUCAAUUAGCUGAUUGAUCGAAACGACGGCGGUCUGCUGCUUCUUCUUUGAAGGAGGAGAUCGCGAUGAUGAUGAUGAUGAURAUAAUAAUAAUACAAAAUCAGCUAGCGGUAAAAUUGUCCAUCGGCGCAGGCCCGGGGCUCGUCAUACGACUCGCUACCCGUCGAAGACCGUCGAAGCGAUUCCGGUGAAAUAGUAGUCAUAGGCGUAUCGCGCCGCUCCCCUUUUCUCGUUCUUCUUCCUC
rnacentral:rRNA from 1 species